rnacentral:rRNA from 1 species
UACGUAGGUGACAAGCGUUGUCCGGAUUUACUGGGCGUAAAGAGCGCGCAGGCGGUCGUUCAAGUCGAGUGUGAAAGCCCCCGGCUCAACUGGGGAGGGUCACUCGAUACUGAUCGACUCGAAGGCAGGAGAGGGAAGUGGAAUUCCCGGUGUAGUGGUGAAAUGCGUAGAUAUCGGGAGGAACACCUGAGGCGAAGGCGGGCUACUGGGCCGAUACUGACGCUGAGGCGCGAAAGCCAGGGGAGCAAACGGGG